UGGGUUCAAUACCCAGAAGAAAGGAAAGAAAGAAAGAAAGAAAGAAAGAAAGAAAGAAAGAAAGAAAGAAAGAAUUGUACUGAGAAUAUUGUAUGUGAUAGGCAUCUGGGCUCUGAGAGUGAGGUUAUGGCACUCUCUCUAACUUCAAGAUGCUCAUCUUCCUUAGGGGAGGCAGAGAGAAGCCAUCAGGUGAGCAGCUUGCUUUAUCACAUGCUCCCAACCAUGAUGUUCUGCCUCACCACAGGUCUAAAUGCAACAGAACCAACUUACCACGGACUGAAACUUCCAGAACGGACAGGAAGAAACCAAAAGGCCAGAAGAAAUGCCUAAAUUCAGAUCACAGCGAAGAGAGCAGAUCAGCUAAGCAGAUACGGACAAGCGCCCACCUGGGAGAUGGAAGACCCUGGACCACCUAAAUAAAAGGAGCUUGGGACAAGAGUUAGAGGGCUUUCAGCGCUGACGCCCCCCACCACCUCACUGCAGCUGUCUAUUCUCUUUCUUCUCCAUCUCUUUCCCCAA
rnacentral:lncRNA from 1 species